rnacentral:ncRNA from 1 species
AAUUUUAUCGUACGAAGAGGUUUUACUUAAUUGUAGAUUAAUAGGGAAUCUGGUGUAAAUCCAGAGCUGUCGCGCAACUGUAAGUAACAUUCAAAAGAUUUUUAUCCUAGUGUUCCACUGUUUUUAAUGAAAAUGGGAAGGACGAUAAAAACUGUUAUAAGUCAGGAGACCUGCCCUUUUCGAUAUGACUUU